AACUCGCGAAUGAAUGAGGUAGAAAAGCUACAAUUAACUUCCUCAUCUACCCCAUGAAAAUUCAUUCGACGAAAAGAAAAAACAACAGCAACAGCAAAAGAAAACUGUAUGUAUCAUGCACUGUAUCAUUAUAACAAUUUUUGUAUAAUGUUCUUAGGACUCGCUGAUAUCAAAAAUAGAUGAGCUUACACAGAGACUCCAAACAGUAAAAGACAAAAACAAAGAAAUUAUUACCGAAAAUAAAGAGCUCAAUAAGACUGUAGCAAGACUACGGAAUGAUAUAUCGCGUUGUAAUGAGGACAAUACCACCUUAAAAAUGGACAACGAAAAACUGAAGGCUGAAAACGAGAAACUAUUAAAGGCAAUUGAAGUGGAAAAAUCAAAUAAUUCGUUCCUUACCACUUCUCUAGAAGAAAAAGAGCAAGAGACUCUCCACGUCCAACGUGCA